GUGACGGCUACGGCGAAGGGCUAUGCGUCAGCGCCAUAGCAUACGCCGGCGUUUGACGCAGAAGUAUAAAUCAGCCUUAAGUCAAGAACCAAAUGAAGCACCAGAGUACAGAUUAUGGAGGUAUCUGAAGUUGAACUAACUGGAAGCAGGGAACCAUACUAAUAAAGUUCCUUAAGCAGGUUCCUUGUAAAGAUUAACCCAGGGAAGGAUCGAAAGUGGAGAAGACCAGAUCAAGAAAGACUACAUCAAGAUAUGCGGUCAGUUCAAAGGAUGUUUUGCAUUGGACUGUUUUUUUUGGCUUUGACCCUUGCUUGCCCCUGACCUCACUCUUGGACUGCCCUGUUGGAUUUUCAGUUUAUUUAAUUAAAAAAAAAAUUUUUGGAUUUUUAAAUAUUUAAUUGUAAUUAUUUAAUGUAAAUCAAAGGCGGCAACACCAAGGCUCCAAAAAUACAAAUUUAUUAAAUUAAAAAGGCUGACACAGAGCGUAAAAUGUUUCGAGCCGCCGGCUCUUCAUCAGACAAAUAAUUUUUCGUUGUAAUUUUUUAAAUAAUAUGUUUUUGUUAAAUAUGCGAUUUCUGUGUUUGUUCUGUCUACUCGAACUUGUUUAUCUGGUUUCUGUAAUUAUCAUUUGUUUAUUUGACCCUUGCCUCGCCUCUGAUCUUGUUUUUGGAUUGCCCUUCAUAUAUCUUUUUAAUUAUUGGUUCUAGUUAUAUGGUUAUAAAAUAUUUGUUAAUUUAAUUAAUAUGCAUUAUAUUAAAAAAUACAUAUAAAUAUAUUUUCUGUGUUUUUUU
rnacentral:lncRNA from 1 species